AUCUGGACGGCGGAAUUCAGGAUGGCUGUGCGUGUUUCGCGCGCGUACGGCCGUUUGAUAUUUCCGUCGUCGUCGUAAGACACAGACGUCGCGACCUGUUUGUCGUCGGUCCCUGUUCGAAGGAGCCGCGGUCGAGUUCGUUGCGGGCGCGUUUACGCGCGUCUCGCGGUGAAGCCGCGUGCCUCUGGCCGAUCGACGGACAGUAUGCUGUAAACAACGGUGUCCGGCGCCGUCGUCUCGUACGCACGGCUGUCAGAGCACCGGUCGGCGACGAUUUCUUCGGGCCUCUUUCCGACCCGUCUUGAAACACGGACCAAGGAGUCUAACGUGCGCGCGAGUCGCGGGGUUACAUAACGAAACCCGUGUGCGCUUGGCGCACUAGAAGGCGUAAUGAAAGUGAAUGGGGAAGAUGGCGUUCCGAGUACACGUUCCGCGGUCACUGGUAUCGCGGCCGGACGUCCGCAUUCCCGGGGCGUCUCAACGGCCCGUCGUAGAUGUCGGGCGGUCGUCUUUCGGGGCGGCCGUCGGUCCGCGUCGAACCGA
rnacentral:rRNA from 1 species